UAUGUUCAUAUGCAUGAUUGGUUCGGUAUAACUCGUUUGUAAAAAUGAUACGUGUUUUAUUAUGCAUAUUUCACGGUCAAACCGACUAUCUUCGUUUAGCUUUUUUCUUACGUAGUAUUAAAGGUAGAUAUUAAAUCGCGUCAAAUAGCGAAACAUACAUACGUAUAGUAGAAUACAGAAUGUUGGAUGGACGUGAAAUACGUAAUAUUAACAAGAAUGUUCUCUACAAUUUUUCGGCAUGACAUUCGGAGCGACGACUCAAGAGAGAUAGGUAACCGAAGAGGAGUUAAUGAUGCAAGAAAAAGAAAGUGGAUAAAACAGGUGACUUAAGAAGACAACAUUUCAGAAGUAAAUGGUGGAAAUAAUGUUGCAGAUCUGUGCAUAAAAAAUGCGCGUAAAAAAUAAAAUAAAAUAAGGCAAAGAUAAAGCAUGCGUGAAAAGAAAUAGAAAUAAGAGAGAGAAGAAACAGGGAAAGACAAAUGUUAAGAGUAAGGAUCGAAAAGUGUUGAAAGAGUGGAGAAAGAUGCAAGUUUUGAUCGGUGAAUCUUACUUUCGACGAUUCGCGACAUCCCACGCGCAAGCUAUCAAGGCAUUUACUGUUAAAUCUCCAGGAACAACAUUGGCUUCUAUGGAUCCAUCGCAAUGAAUCGAUCGUAAAACCCCGGUACCAGCCCCAGCUGCAACACCUGUUGGUCCGUACAAGUUGUCGAUCCAUCCUCGCACCGGUUCUUGGUAUGUUGAUAUCACUGAAAAUUCCAUCGGAUCCUCCAAUCAAAUUAAUUUUU